rnacentral:rRNA from 1 species
GAUGAACGCUAGCUACAGGCUUAACACAUGCAAGUCGAGGGGAAACGACAUCGAAAGCUUGCUUUUGAUGGGCGUCGACCGGCGCACGGGUGAGUAACGCGUAUCCAACCUGCCCAUCACUUGGGAAUAACCUUGCGAAAGUAAGACUAAUACCCAAUGAUAUCCCACGAAGGCAUCGGAAUGGGAUUAAAGAUUUAUCGGUGAUGGAUGGGGAUGCGUCUGAUUAGCUUGUUGGCGGGGUAACGGCCCACCAAGGCAACGAUCAGUAGGGGUUCUGAGAGGAAGGUCCCCCACAUUGGAACUGAGACACGGUCCAAACUCCUACGGGAGGCAGCAGUGAGGAAUAUUGGUCAAUGGGCGAGAGCCUGAACCAGCCAAGUAGCGUGCAGGAAGACGGCCCUAUGGGUUGUAAACUGCUUUUAUAAGGGAAUAAAGUGGGUCACGUGUGACUUUUUGCAUGUACCUUAUGAAUAAGGACCGACUAAUUCCGUG